UACGUAGGCAGCAAGCGUUUGUUCGGAAUUACUGGGCGUAAAGAGUGUGUAGGCGGUGCUCUAAGUUUGUCGUGAAAUCUCCCGGCUUAACUGGGAGGGUGCGGCGAAAACUGGAGUGCUAGAGGGUGGGAGAGGAAAGCGGAAUUCCUGGUGUAGCGGUGAAAUGCGCAGAUAUCAGGAGGAACACCGGUGGCGAAGGCGGGUCUCUGGGCCGAUACUGACGCUGGAGGAGCGAAAGCGUGGGGAGCGAACAGG
rnacentral:rRNA from 1 species